rnacentral:lncRNA from 1 species
GCGCUAUCUUCUAAAGAUUACUAGUAAUCCAAUGGGAAUAAAAAAAUAUGGCGGUGUUUGGCUAAACGCACUAAGUAAUCUAGUUGGUAAUAUUGGAUUCACUUGGGAAUAAGAUUCACCCUAAAGUAGUAAUCUCAUUCCCUUGAGGGAGGGUGGAUAUCCUCAUAUUAAUAGAUUGGGGUAAUCAUAAUAUGUCUAAUCUCUUUCUUUCUUCCUACCCGCCGGCUAAUUGAUAUUAUUUUUCUUUACACUCUAACCUUGUAUCUCUCUCUAAACUUAUUUUUUCUCUCUAAACUUCAACUUUUUUUUCUCUCUCUAAACUAAGCUCUCUUUCUCUCUCUCUCUUUCUAAAAUUUCAACUCUCUCACUCCCUCUAAUUUCGACUCUAUUUUUCUUUUUAUUUUUUUAAUUAUGCUCUCUCUCUCUAACUUAUGUUCUCUCUGUCCCUUUUUUCUAAAAAGAUGUUGAAAUUUUUUGUGGCAUUAUUUAAAAUUAAUUAAAUUAAUUAAUUAAUUAGUUGUAUAUUUUUUGUAAUCUUAAAUAACAUGGCUAAUUAAUAUUACCGUGCGAACCAAACACAGGAAUUGCACAUUCUUAGUAAUAGGAUGAAUAAGAAUAAGAUUCUCGGAUAUCUUUUAUCUCUUAGUAAUCUUUCAUAGUGCGAGCCAAAUGCACCCUAUGAGUCAUUAAAUAACUCAACUUUUGGACUAGUUUGAUAUUUUGCAAAGAUUUUCUUAAGAUUGUUACAAGUCAAAUAGUUCUUAGCCUGACCCCAAUUGAGGAUUAUACAUUGGCAGAAGCCUUUCUGAAAUUUUUUUUUUUUUUUUUGGCUUAAAAUUACCGAGCAAAUUUCAAGGGGACCAAGGUCACAUUAACAACGAGUGUUCCAUUCAUAAUUAGUCAGGCUAUUCUAUUGAGCUGUCUCAAAUUUUGGACUGCGUUCCAGCAGACAAAGGAUUGCUAUAAAUUCCAAGCUAACUUAAAAUGUUAAGACAAUAAGAAGAAACAGCUUUACUUCAACCAAUCAAGAAUCAUAAAUCCAAAAAUGACCGUGCGCCAAACUUUGAAUUCAAAAUAGAAAAAAAUCUGAUCAAGUUGUACGUUCGGAGUGAAGUACUUAAUGAAAAAGAAAGCUGCAGUACUUGUAUUAAGAAACUGUUGCAUAAAUUUCUGAGUAGAUAGGACAAUAAACCAGUUUUAGCCACAUAUUCACAAAUAUUACAUUCAACAAAAUUGCAAUAAGUUUCAUCAUUUCAACUCAAAGAAAGAAACAAAAUACCUGAUCAGGCUCCAACGGUGCCGCGGGCAUCGGGCUUGUUGGGGAACUAAGAAGGGAUAAAACAGUGUGUAAAAAUACUGUACAAUAAAACUAACAGGAUACAACAUUACUUCAGAUCAGUUUAUACUGUUUUGAAGGUGUUUGGUUCUCAGGAUGAGGGAACUAAUAAUGAGAGAGAGAGAGAGAGAGAGAGAGAGAGAGAGAGAGAGAGAAUUACAAAAGAAAUAGCUCCAACUUCUUCUUCUUCUUCUUCUUUUUCGGUACAAUUACAAAAUUAAAAGGAAAAGUGCCUCAAAUGNUUCUCCUUACACACAUCCAUGAAAAGCAUGCAAAAUCGUGAGCAAAGAAGAAGAGGGAGCAGAGAGGAUCCAAGUCAUGACUCAGGAGAGAUACCAAACAAGGGAAAGUAAGUAGAGAGAGGUGUGGACUGUAGAGUCCCUUCGGAGACAUCCCAUCCCAUAAUAAAGAAGAGUUGGAGUAGAGGGACAACCAGCCUUGUACAAACCAUUUUCAUCGUAUAUAUAUUAUUAUAAUUUUAGAAUUGUAUAUAAUUUUUUUUUUUUUGUUACAAUUUAAUGCACAUUACGUAAAAUUUUAUAUAAGGGCCAGGAGCAAUUACCAUAAGGUUCGUUUGGUUCGCGCUAUCUUUUUAAAAUUUCUAGUAAUCCAAUAAAAAUAAUAAAAUAUGACGGUAUUUAGCUAAACGCACUAAGUAAUCUAGUUGGUAAUAUUAGAUUUACUUGAAAAUAAGAUUCAUCCCAAAGUACUAAUCUCAUUCCCUUGAGGGAGGGUGGGUAUCCUCAUAUUAAUAGAUUGGGAUAAUCAUAAUAUGUCUAAUCUCUUUCUUUCUCCCUACCCGCCGCCGGCUAGUUAGUAUUAUUUUUCUUUACACUCUAACAUCGUAUCUCUCUCUAAACUUAUUUUUUCUCUCUAAACUUCAACUCUUUUUCUCUCUCUAAACUAAGCUCUCUUUCCCCCUCUUUUUCUAAAAUCUCAACUCUCUCACUCCCUCUAAUCUCAACUCUAUUUCUCUUCUUAUUUCUUUAAUUAUGCUCUCUCUCUAACCUAUGUUCUCUCUCUCCCUUUUUCUAAAAAGAUGUUGAAAUUUUUUGUGGCAUUAUCUAAAAUUAAUUAAAGAAAUAAAUAAAUUAGUUGUAUAUUUUUUGUAAACUUAAAUAACAUGACUAAAUAAUAUAACCGUGCGAACCAAACACAGGAAUAGCACAUUCUUAGUAAUAGGAUGAAUAAGAAUAAGAUUCUCGGAUAUCUUUUAACUCUUAGUAAUCUUUCAUAGUGCGAACCAAACGCACCCUAAGAGUCAUUAAAUAACUCAACUCAUACAAGUUAGAAAAUAU